CCCGAGCCCGCGCGCGAAUCCACGAGAUGCCGCUGCGGGCCAGCGGAGGGAAAGGUGCGAGAGGCUAUUGGACAGCCCCGGCCAGGGAGGCCAGGUCCCUCGGCCCACCCAGGGCCUUUGGCCGCAGCCGGCGCCGAAGGAGCUCGUGGUCGUGCGUGUGGAAGGCCACAGUGCCUCCGGCCAGCCGUACCGAGAUGGCCGCUCGCCCUCUGGUCAGAGAGGAGAACCAGUAAAAAAAAGACUCAUGUCAUUGUCACAGUGCUGUCGCAGACACAUCCUCUGAAGGGUCCUCUUCUGCCACCCUGGGUGGCUGGCAGAGUGGGAUCUCCUCAAAGGAACCAAGUGAAGCGCACGGGUUCCUGGGCCCCUAGGGUGCUGUAUCUAGGCCAAGGCCUCUAACAUCUCCUGAGUUCUUUUGUUGAGUUGGCUGCUGUGGACUGUCAGCUUAUUGGAUUGUAGGCAAGCUUUGGGCUGAAGUCAUCUUUCUGGCCUCGCAGCCCCCACCCAACUCAACAUUUAGUGUAUGGCCAUUAAUUGAGGAGCAAGACUAGAAUAAGAAUAUUCUGGUGCAACUGGCAUGGUGGCACUCACCUGUAAUCAUAGCCCUCUGAAAGAUGAGGCAGAAGAAUCCUAUGUUUGAGACCAGCCUGAGCUAAAUACAGAGACCUUCAUUUUAAUUUUUUUAUUUAAAAGUUCCUUCUACCCCAGGAAGACCAGCUCGUCAGCAGCCUCACCACUCCCCGACCACUCAUUUCCACCUAACUUCAGGAGAGAGCUGUUUACUUCAGAUUCAGACAGCAGCGUUUAAGGAGCCAGCCAGGCUGAUGACUCAGCUCAUAAAACAAUGUGUGGCCACAAAGAUGAUGUUUAUCCAGGAGCAUUCUGGAGGCUCUUGCUACCGAAGCCGGCAAGCUGUGGGUAUGUGGUACACGAUGCUCAUUCUCCCAGGAGUUUCUGCAGCCGUGACAAAGCAGCACUCCCCAGCUGCAACUCUCCCAGCAGUGGAUCUCACACGAUGCUCUCCCUAAACAGAAAGCCUGUAUCACCGAAGGGGAAAAAAAAGUGCUGCUUUGACCUCUACCUGGACUACCUUGUUCAACUUAUUCAAAGUUGAAUAGGAGGAGGGAAGACUACUUAUUGGAGUACUGACGGCUUUCUUAGAGACCCCCUACAUACUGCAAAUGCUUCAGACACUCAGAGAUUUCAUUCUGUGUAAAUUGUAUCUCAAAAAUGAACUCCAGAAGCCACAUACUUCAGCAGAACAGACUCAAACAGUGAGAUGCCCUCAUGAGAACCAGGUCAUGAACAUCCUGUAGCUCCCUCUUGGAUGUUGUCUGGAAGGACAAGAAAAAUCAAGACUGG
rnacentral:lncRNA from 1 species